CCUACGGGAGGCAGCAGUAGGGAAUCUUCCACAAUGGGCGAAAGCCUGAUGGAGCAACGCCGCGUGGGUGAAGAAGGUCUUCGGAUCGGUAAACCCUGUUGUUAGAGAAGAAAGUGCGUGAGAGUAACUGUUCACGUUUCGACGGUAUCUAACCAGAAAGCCACGGCUAACUACGUGCCAGCAGCCGCGGUAAUACGUAGGUGGCAAGCGUUGUCCGGAUUUAUUGGGCGUAAAGGGAACGCGGGCGGUCUUUUAAGUCUGAUGUGAAAGCCUUCGGCUUAACCGGAGUAGUGCAUUGGAAACUGGGAGACUUGAGUGCAGAAGAGGAGAGUGGAACUCCAGGUGUAGCGGUGAAAUGCGUAGAUAUAUGGAAGAACACCAGUGGCGAAGGCGGCUCUCUGGUCUGUAACUGACGCUGAGGUUCGAAAGCGUGGGUAGCAAACAGGAUUAGAUACCCCUGUAGUC
rnacentral:rRNA from 1 species